rnacentral:lncRNA from 1 species
UAACGCGGUCCUUGCGUCCUUCCGGCUCCGUCGUGGAAGCAGGACUGCGCCGCGUCUUCCUUAAGGUUGAGAACAAAAAGAUGCACCUGGACUUUCCCCGGAGCACUCUGCGUGGUUGAGCUUCGGUGGAAUUUCGGGGCUCUUGGCUGCCAGCCGCGCUUGCCUGGUAGCAACAGAAACCAGUCCCGCUCGCCUCCGUGGACAGUUCAUUACCAUCCAGAAGUGUCUCCCACUGAAGGCAUCCGCGGUUGUUUUUAAGCCACAAAAAAGCCACACCCAAGAUCACCUGAC